rnacentral:rRNA from 1 species
UUAAAAAGCUCGUAGUUGAAUUUCGGGAUUAGUACGUUGGUCGUGCCUUCGGUACGUACUGGUGUUACUGAUUCCUACCUUCUGUCGAACCAUCAUGUCAUUAAUUUGGUGUGGUGGGGAAUCAGGACUGUUACUUUGAAAAAAUUAGAGUGUUUAAAGCAGGCUCGCGCUUGAAUACAUUAGCAUGGAAUAAUGAAAUAGGACGUUGAUCCUAUUUUGUUGGUUUCUAGGAUUGACGUAAUGAUUAAUAGGGAUAGUUGGGGG